rnacentral:ncRNA from 1 species
AGAAAGACGAUGACAGGGAGAGUAAAUAUAGUCAAGAUUUAUAGCGAGUUCGGAGUGGUGAAAGCCGAAUAUGAAGAUUAUAUUGAAGAACACCCUUGAGUAGCUAACCGAAAUUAUUAAUAGUAGGCUUAGACGUUGUGUCCAACGUUACAUGGACUAGGUAUCGAUAGAAAUGGUAAAUGUUUUGUUAUCUGUACCGAUAAGAGAUAGCUAAAAGCUAAUUUAGGGUGGCACCACGGAAUAUAUCCGUCCCUAUA